GAGCGUAAACUCCUUUUUAUCAGGAAAGAAUAAUGACGGUACCUGAUGAAUAAGCACCGGCUAACUCCGUGCCAGCAGCCGCGGUAAUACGGGGGGUGCAAGCGUUACUCGGAAUCACUGGGCGUAAAGGACGCGUAGGCGGAUUAUCAAGUCUUUUGUGAAAUCUAGUGGCUUAACCACUAAACUGCUUAGGAAACUGAUAGUCUAGAGUAGGGGAGAGGUAGAUGGAAUUCUUGGUGUAGGGGUAAAAUCCGUAGAGAUCAAGAAGAAUACCCAUUGCGAAAGCGAUCUGCUGGAACCUAACUGACGCUGAGGCGUGAAAGCGUGGGUAGCAAACAGGAUUAGAUACCCUGGUAGUCCACGCCCUAAACGAUGUAUACUAGUUGUUGCUUUGCUAGUCAAGGCAGUAAUGCAGCUAACGCAUUAAGUAUACCGCCUGGGGAGUACGGUCGCAAGAUUAAAACUCAAAGGAAUAGACGGGGACCCGCACAAGCGGUGGAGCAUGUGGUUUAAUUCGAAGAUACGCGAAGAACCUUACCUGGACUUGACAUCCUAAAAACAUCUAAGAGAUU
rnacentral:rRNA from 1 species